rnacentral:rRNA from 1 species
AUGCUUGUCUCAAAGAUUAAGCCAUGCAUGUGUAAGCACACACUGUUUUAAAAGUGAAGCCGCGAAUGGCUCAUUACAACAGCCACAGUUUAUUAGAACUUACAUACAUGGAUAACUGUGGUAAUUCUAGAGCUAAUACACGCACAAAAACUUCAACUAUACAAUGGUUGAAGUGCUUUUAUUAGAACAAAAACCGAACGGCGUUCGACUUGUGUUGAACGUCGAAACUCUUUGGUGAAUCUGAAUAACUAUUUCUGAUCGCAUGGUCUAGCACCGGCGACAUCACUUUCAAGUGUCUGCCUUAUCAACCUUCGAUGGUAGUCUAUGCGACUACCAUGGUGAUAACGGGUAACGGAGAAUCAGGGUUCGACUCCGGAGAGGGAGCCUGAGAAACGGCUACCACAUCCAAGGAAGGCAGCAGGCGCGCAAAUUACCCACUCCCAGCUUGGGGAGGUAGUGACGAAAAAUAACGAGACGAUUCUCGUUUGAGAAACGUUAUCGAAAUGAGUACGCUUUACACACGCUAACGAGUAGCAAUUGGAGGGCAAGUCUGGUGCCAGCAGCCGCGGUAAUUCCAGCUCCAAUAGCGUAUAUUAAAGUUGCUGCGGUUAAAACGCUCGUAGUUGAAUUGUGGUCUUAGACAACAGUCCCCCUAUAUAGGUGUGGCACGGUUGCUCGAGAUCUUCAUUCGUGGUUGCUGUUGUUGCUCUUCAUUGAGUGUCAAUGGUGCCUCGAGAUUUUACUUUGAAAAAAUUAGAGUGCUCAAAGCAGGUUGUGAUGCCUGAAUAAUGGUGCAUGGAAUAAUAGAAUACGAUCUCGGUUCUAUUUUGUUGGUUUUCGAACCGGAGAUAAUGAUUGAAAGGAACAGACGGGGGCAUUCGUAUUGCUGCGUUAGAGGUGAAAUUCUUGGAUCGCAGCAAGAUGAACAAUUGCGAAAGCAUUUGCCAAGAAUGUUUUCAUUAAUCAAGAACGAAAGUUAGAGGUUCGAAGGCGAUCAGAUACCGCCCUAGUUCUAACGGUAAACUAUGCCAACCAGCGAUUCGCCGAAGUUCAUUUAAGACUCGGCGAGCAGCUUCCGGGAAACCAAAGUGUUUCGGUUCCGGGGGAAGUAUGGUUGCAAAGCUGAAACUUAAAGGAAUUGACGGAAGGGCACCACCAGGAGUGGAGCCUGCGGCUUAAUUUGACCCAACACGGGAAAACUCACCCGGCCCGGACACUGAAAGGAUUGACAGAUUGACAGCUCUUUCUUGAUUCAGUGGGUAGUGGUGCAUGGCCGUUCUUAGUUGGUGGAGCGAUUUGUCUGGUUAAUUCCGAUAACGAACGAGACUCUACCCUAUUAAAUAGUGACAGUAUUGCAUAUUCUGUGCUGAUCACUUCUUAGAGGGACUGGCAAAUUGAAAGCUGCACGAAAAAGAGCAAUAACAGGUCUGUGAUGCCCUUCGAUGUCCGGGGCUGCACGCGCGCUACAAUGAAAGCGUCAACGUGAGUUACGUCCUUACCUGAAAAGGUUUGGCAAUCGAUUGAAACGUUUUCUUGAAUGGAAUAGGGAAUUGCAAUUGUUUCCCUUGAACGAGGAAUUCCCAGUAAGCGUGAGUCAUUAGCUCGCGUUGAUUACGUCCCUGCCCUUUGUACACACCGCCCGUCGCUACUACCGAUUGGAUGGUUUAGUGAGGCCCUCGGAUCGGCCCCGCCGGGGUCGGCCCACGGCCCUGGCGGAGCGCUGAGAAGACGGUCGAACUUGACUAUCUAGAGGAAGUAAAAGUCGUAACAAGGUUUCCGUAGGUGAACCUGCGGAAG